AUUGAACGCUGGCGGCAGGCCUAACACAUGCAAGUCGAACGAGCGGCGGACGGGUGAGUAAUGUCUGGGAAACUGCCUGAUGGAGGGGGAUAACUACUGGAAACGGUAGCUAAUACCGCAUCCCAUCAGAUGUGCCCAGAUGGGAUUAGCUAGUAGGUGGGGUAACGGCUCACAUAGGCGACGAGCCCUAGCUGGUCUGGGAGGAUGACCAGCCACACGGGAACGGGGACACGGUCCAGACGCCUACGGGAGGCAGCGUGGGGGAAUAUUGCACAAUGGGGGCAAGCCUGAUGCAGCCAGGCCGGGUGUGGGAAGAGGGCCUUCGGGUGGUAAGGCACUUUCAGCGGGGAGGCGUUACCCGCAGAAGAAGCACCGGCUAACUCCGUGCCAGCAGCCGCGGUAAUAC
rnacentral:rRNA from 1 species